GGGAGGUAGUGACAAUAAAUAACAAUACGGGGUUCUUUAGGAUCUCGUAAUUGGAAUGAGUACAAUUUAAAUCUCUUAACGAGGAACAAUUGGAGGGCAAGUCUGGUGCCAGCAGCCGCGGUAAUUCCAGCUCCAAUAGCGUAUAUUAAAGUUGUUGCAGUUAAAAAGCUCGUAGUUGAAUUUCGAGAUCGGCUUACUGGUCGUGCUAUUGUACGUACUGGUAUAAUCGGUUUCUCCUUUCUGACGAACUAUAAUGCCAUUAAUUUGGUGUUUUAGGGAAUCAGGACUGUUACUUUGAAAAAAUUAGAGUGUUUAAAGCAGGCUCACGCUUGAAUACAUUAGCAUGGAAUAACGGAAUAGGACGUUUGAUUCUAUUUUGUUGGUUUCUAGGAUCGACGUAAUGAUUAAUAGGGAUAGUUGGG
rnacentral:rRNA from 1 species